rnacentral:rRNA from 1 species
AGCUCCAAUAGCGUAUAUUAAAGUUGUUGCAGUUAAAAAGCUCGUAGUUGGAUUUCUGGAGGAAGGGAGAAGUCCGACCUUUUAUGGUGGGUACUGCUCCUCUUCCGCCAUCUUUGGGUCUAAGCAGUCUGGCAUUAAGUUGUCGGGCUGGGGAUACCCAUCGUUUACUGUGAAAAAAUUAGAGUGUUCAAAGCAGGCUUAUGCCGUUGAAUAUAUUAGCAUGGAAUAAUGAGAUAGGACCUUGGUACUAUUUUGUUGGUUUGCGCACCGAGGUAAUGAUCAAUAGGGACAGUUGGGGGUAUUCGUAUUCAGUUGUCAGAGGUGAAAUUCUUAGAUUUACGGAAGACGAACUACUGCGAAAGCAUUUACCAAGGAUGUUUUCA